GCAGUGCUGAGGAACUAGGUUGU
rnacentral:piRNA from 1 species